rnacentral:rRNA from 1 species
CCUACGGGAGGCAGCAGUGAGGAAUAUUGGUCAAUGGACGAGAGUCUGAACCAGCCAAGUAGCGUGAAGGAUGACUGCCCUAUGGGUUGUAAACUUCUUUUAUAUGGGAAUAAAAUGUUCCACGUGUGGGAUUUUGUAUGUACCAUAUGAAUAAGGAUCGGCUAACUCCGUGCCAGCAGCCGCGGUAAUACGGAGGAUCCGAGCGUUAUCCGGAUUUAUUGGGUUUAAAGGGAGCGUAGGUGGAUUGUUAAGUCAGUUGUGAAAGUUUGCGGCUCAACCGUAAAAUUGCGGUUGAAACUGGCAGUCUUGAGUACAGUAGAGGUGGGCGGAAUUCGUGGUGUAGCGGUGAAAUGCUUAGAUAUCACGAAGAACUCCGAUUGCGAAGGCAGUUCACUGGACUGCAACUGACACUGAGGCUCGAAAGUGUGGGUAUCAAACAGGAUUAGAUACCCGAGUAGUC